AUGGCCCACAACGAUGAGGCCGGCGGUUCGGGCGGCAAGGCAUUCUGGGAGCUGUCCCAGGAGAUGGAGGAAGAACCUCACCGCUAUGAGGACGCCGCGGAAGACACCGAUCCUGACUACACAACCCCUAGUGGCGUCGGGGAUGACACCACUGAUGGUGCCGCCGAGGAUGCCACCACUGAUGAUGGCAGCGCACGCACAGAUGGCAGCCAACCGAAGAGGCAACGGAAGGACCGGCGGCCGAACGUGCUCGGCACCGUCAAGGAGGAAUUUACUGAAGUGAACUGCGACGGGGAUCCAACGGCGCCCAUAGAAUUAGUCAAGGGGUACUCGGUUCAGCUCGGGUGCAUUCUCCGGAGCACCAUCUCGAUCAACACUGAGAACCUAAGGCAUAAGGACCAAGGGAAUUUGCGCAACCUCCUCUUCACGAAGCUGCACGAACGAUACAAGUUCCCCGCUGACUUUGCAAACACACGCCUCUCAGGGAAUAAAGUGAACAGUGCCGCCCUCACGAAGAUGAGCACGGCCCUGUCUACUUGGAGAAGCGCGGUGAAGAGAAUGAUUAACAAAGGUGAUAGUUAUGAGAAGAUCAAGGCGAAAAUCCUUCGAUCAGCGAAGAUGACUACAAGGAGUUCAAGAUCAAGUGCGAGAGCGGCGCAUCCGAGGAAUCAAGUCAGUGGGGGAAAGAGAUGCGGGACUUGA
rnacentral:rRNA from 1 species